rnacentral:rRNA from 1 species
UGGGGAAUUUUGGACAAUGGGCGAAAGCCUGAUCCAGCAAUGCCGCGUGUGUGAAGAAGGCCUUCGGGUUGUAAAGCACUUUUGUCCGGAAAGAAAUCCUUGGCUCUAAUACAGUCGGGGGAUGACGGUACCGGAAGAAUAAGCACCGGCUAACUACGUGCCAGCAGCCGCGGUAAUACGUGAGGGUGCAAGCGUUAAUCGGAAUUACUGGGCGUAAAGCGUGCGCAGGCGGUUUGCUAAGACCGAUGUGAAAUCCCCGGGCUCAACCUGGGAACUGCAUUGGUGACUGGCAGGCUAGAGUAUGGCAGAGGGGGGUAGAAUUCCACUGUAGCAGUGAAAUGCGUAGAGAUGUGGAGGAAUACCGAUGGCGAAGGCAGCCCCCCUGGGCCAAUACUGACGCUCAUGCACGAAAGCGUGGGGAGCAAACAGGAUUAGAUACCCUGGUAGUCCACGCCCUAAACGAUGUCAACUAGUUGUUGGGGAUUCAUUUCCUUAGUAACGUAGCUAACGCGUGAAGUUGACCGCCUGGGGAGUACGGUCGCAAGAUUAAAACUCAAAUGAAUUG